UGGCUGGUUAUAUGUGCUUGUGUGUUGGUUUGGGACAGUUAUUACUCGUGGUGGUGGUGUCUGGUGAGAAGGUUUAUUUGACGCUACAGUGGAUUUCAGACUGUGUGGUGGAGGACCGAUAAUUGUCUUGUGAACAAGACAAGGUUUGAAGGUUUUGCCCCGUGUCUUAGAUGAGGAUAGGGAAUGUUGCUACAGUGUAGAAGAAAGGUGAUGGAACACCUGCUUUUGAUAUUACUUAAUUGCUGGCCAAGAAUAUACGAAGAAUGAUGCGGAAAAAAAUAAUAAUUGCGCGUAUGAAUUUUUUUUUUGAGACCACAUCAGUGCCUUAGUUUUAUAACGUAUGUAAAUUUGGGCUUCCUGAAUAAGACCAGCGUCGUAACAGCCAUGUGUUAUUUCAUUAGUGACGAUAUACAGUCGUCGCUACAAUAAUUUCCGUCAACAUACAAUUGUCUUAGUUGUAGAAAUUAGUCGGCAUGUAUUCACAGCGAAGGUAGUACGUAUUUGUAUAGCUUAGCAACGUGUUGGGGUUCUUGACUAGUGUAAUUGUACAGUACAAGUCUCGAACCUCACAUGAAACGCCACACGCACACGCACGCACACGUACGUUGGGGUUCUUGACUAGUGUAAUUGUACAAUAGAAGUUUCGAACCUCUCACGUGAAACGCCACACGCACGCACAUGUAAAACAAUGGAACAUGCAAAAAUUCAGUGAGGUGCUCAAAUGUAGAUCUAGUCAUAUCCACGUAUAGACAGAAUUGUUGUAUAAGGCAGCGAAGAUAUAGACUGGCGAACACACGCAGCAGAUAGACAAACGCACACUGCAGGGAUGUAAUAUGUAGACAGGUAGUCAAAACGCGCAACAAAGAUAUUGGCAAGCGUACAGAUAGAGGCAGACAAAACACAGGAGGCAUACAAAUACGCAAUAGAUAUACACACAAACUCGCAUUGAGCAUGUAUCUAAAUAUAAGGUUUAUGCUGCACAUGAUAGGUUCUUCCUUCAGGUCAUGUGCAAUCAGAAUCCCUAGAUGGAAGGACUGACCCGCGUAACACUGAUGUUUGAGAUGAAUAUUCAAGUGUAACGUCCUUGUUCUCCACUUGCGGGGUUCGAGGAUAUGAAGGUACGAGUUACUGCUGUGGUUGGUCUGCGCGGUCUGGGAUAUCAGGUUAACACAGCAGUCCUCAUCAGCAGCAAGUGUCCUUGAGUUGUCUGCAGUAAAUGUUUAUAGUCUGUUUUAAUUCAUUCGGAGUGGAAGAAAAAAAAUAUGGGGUGAAGAAACGUGAUGCUCUACUAUACACCACAUAGAUGGGAUGAGAUGUUCUACACCGCUCAUGAAUCAGUCAUGCAGUAUUUCAGUAGAUGGGGUGAAGAAACGUGAUGCUCUACUAUACACCACAUAGAUGGGAUGAGAUGUUCUACACCGCACAUGAAUCAGUCAUGCAGUAUGUCAGGCAACAGUAUAACACCAAAAUGUGUACACAUCGUACCCAUCCCUGACACACAAUUUAAUGACUACAAGUGCUCACCACAGCCCAUUACAACACCCACAUAGUCAUAGGUAUAUACAUGACAUGGCGUGGACAUCCAUUCAGAAAUAGUUGCUCGUAAGGUUUACAGUAAUAUAUUGACUUGUUACAGCUGCUGCCGCUACUCAAGGGAGUUGUGAACCAGCAUGUCCUGCCAACAAUCCCCAUCCUGCUGGAGGAAAUGUUUCAUGUUGUAUAAACUGUCAUUCCCCAGGGAAGAGAAGAGGGAAGUCAUUUGCCACACCAUCUUGGGAGGGAAGAGAAGUGGUUCAUCUGUCUUGCACAUCAGCCUUCCAGAAGAGAUGUCGUUCCACUGCCUCACGUUUCCAAAGAUCUACUGUUUCCUAUCAUGUCAUCCCCUCCUUAUUCUGUGAAUGUUGCUUGUGUGUGGUGCCAGUACUAUAUAAUAAAUUAUGAAAUUGA